rnacentral:sRNA from 1 species
CCGCCGCUGAGCAGUCGGGGCCGGUGGGUGGCCUCGAACGCCGGGACAGACCGACAGACGGACUGGCCGGCAGUCCCGCGCCCCCGAGCGGAGCGGGCGGGACGGAAACGUCCGGGCAAGUUGGGGUCGGCAGGGUUGGAAGCCCAGCGAGGCUAGAGGCCAGUCCCAAAGUCUCCAGGCAUCAGGGCUGCAGCCCAGGAGCCUCAAGGCGGCCCGGCGGGCGACUGGACGGCCGGACAGGUGUCUCCAUGCUGGCCUCCCCGCCUCAGGGCUUCAUCCCACUCCGUGGGCCUGAUCUCCCUGGGGCACCUGGGAUGUCCAUCUGCAUUAGCUGGAGCUACUCCAUGGCCUGUGGCAUGCCACACACAGCGGCAUUUCGGUGUCAUUAGGCAUAGCUGGAGGUGCAAGGAGGAGGGCAGCCUCAUGUCCAGUUCCAUGUAACUUGCUUCUUCUGAAUAAAGGCAAUUUGCUAACUUCCUCGCUAAA